CACGUAGGGGGCAAGCGUUGUCCGGAAUUAUUGGGCGUAAAGAGCUCGUAGGCGGCUCGGUAAGUCAGGUGUCAAAUCCUCAGGCUCAACCUGGGGCUCCACCUGAUACUGCUGUGGCUAGAGUCCGGUAGGGGAGCGUGGAAUUCCUGGUGUAGCGGUGAAAUGCGUAGAUAUCAAGAGGAACACCUGAGGUGAAGACGGGUUGCUGGGCUGACACUGACGCUCAGGCACGAAAGCGUGGGGAGCAAACAGG
rnacentral:rRNA from 1 species